GGUUUUAAUGGCCGCGGUAUUUUGACCGUGCAAAGGUAGCAUAAUCAUUAGUUCAUUAAUUGUGGACUUGUAUGAAUGGUUGGACGAAAUAUUAACUGUCUCAUUUAUAUAUUUAUAAUUUAAAUUUUGAGUUAAAAUGCUUAAAUAUAUUUAUAGGACGAGAAGACCCUAUAGAUCUUUAUUAUUAAUUUUAUUAAUUUUUUUUGAUUCUUUCUUAUUAUUUUAAUUAAUUUUUUUGUUGGGGUGAUGUGAAGAUAUAAUUAACUCUUUAUUAUUUUAAUCAAUUAUUUUUGUUUAAUUGACCUUUUAUUAUUGUUAAAAGAUAUAGAUACCUUAGGGAUAACAGCGUAAUUCUUUUUGAGAGUUCUUAUCGACAAAGGAUAUUGCGACCUCGAUGUUGGAUUAAGAUUAUUAUUGGGUGUAGGUGCUCAUAUAAAUAAGUCUGUUCGACUUUUAAAUUCUUACAUGAUCUGAGU
rnacentral:rRNA from 1 species